rnacentral:tRNA from 1 species
GUGCCCGUGGUGUAGUGGUUAUCACAUCCGCCUAACACGCGGAAGGUCCCAGGUUCGAUUCCUGGAGGGCACG